rnacentral:tRNA from 1 species
CGGAGAGUGGCGCAGUUGGCUAGCGCGCGGCGUUUGGGACGCCGAGGUCGUGGGUUCAAGUCCCACCUCUCCGACCA